CCUACGGGAGGCAGCAGUGAGGAAUAUUGGUCAAUGGGCGGAAGCCUGAACCAGCCAAGUAGCGUGCAGGAUGACGGCCCUACGGGUUGUAAACUGCUUUUAUACGGGAAUAACGCGCCUUACGUGUAGGGCUUUGCAUGUACCGUAUGAAUAAGGACCGGCUAAUCCCGUGCCAGCAGCCGCGGCAAUACGGAAGGUCCGGGCGUUAUCCGGAUUAAUUGGGGUUAAAGGGAGCGUAGGCCGCAUGUCAAGCGUGCUGUGAAAUGGCCGGGCUAACCCCGGGCCUUGCAGAGCGAACUGGCUGCCUUGAGUCAGCGGAGGGCAGACGGAAUUCGUCGUGUAGCGGUGAAAUGCUUAGAUAUGACGAAGAACCCCGAUUGCGAAGGCAGCUUGCUGCAGCGGAACUGACGCUGAUGCUCGAAAGCGCGGGUAUCGAACAGGAUUAGAUACCCCGGUAGUC
rnacentral:rRNA from 1 species